rnacentral:rRNA from 1 species
UUAAGCGACUAAGCGUACACGGUGGAUGCCCUGGCAGUCAGAGGCGAUGAAGGACGUGCUAAUCUGCGAAAAGCGUCGGUAAGGUGAUAUGAACCGUUAUAGCCGGCGAUGUCCGAAUGGGGAAACCCAGUGCAAUUCGUUGCACUAUCGUUAACUGAAUACAUAGGUUAACGAGGCGAACCGGGGGAACUGAAACAUCUAAGUACCCCGAGGAAAAGAAAUCAACCGAGAUUCCCCCAGUAGCGGCGAGCGAACGGGGAGCAGCCCAGAGUCUGAAUCAGCUUGUGUGUUAGUGGAACGGUCUGGAAAGUCCGACGGUACAGGGUGAUAGUCCCGUACACCAAAAUGCACAGGCUGUGAACUCGAAGAGUAGGGCGGGACACGUGGUAUCCUGUCUGAAUAUGGGGGGACCAUCCUCCAAGGCUAAAUACUCCUGACUGACCGAUAGUGAACCAGUACCGUGAGGGAAAGGCGAAAAGAACCCCGGCGAGGGGAGUGAAAAAGAACCUGAAACCGUGUACGUACAAGCAGUGGGAGCACCUUCGGGUGUGACUGCGUACCUUUUGUAUAAUGGGUCAGCGACUUAUAUUCUGUAGCAAGGUUAACCGUAUAGGGGAGCCGCAGGGAAACCGAGUCUUAACUGGGCGUUAAGUUGCAGGGUAUAGACCCGAAACCCGGUGAUCUAGCCAUGGGCAGGUUGAAGGUUGGGUAACACUAACUGGAGGACCGAACCGACUAAUGUUGAAAAAUUAGCGGAUGACUUGUGGCUGGGGGUGAAAGGCCAAUCAAACCGGGAGAUAGCUGGUUCUCCCCGAAAGCUAUUUAGGUAGCGCCUCGUGAACUCAUCUUCGGGGGUAGAGCACUGUUUCGGCUAGGGGGUCAUCCCGACUUACCAACCCGAUGCAAACUACGAAUACCGAAGAAUGUUAUCACGGGAGACACACGGCGGGUGCUAACGUCCGUCGUGAAGAGGGAAACAACCCAGACCGCCAGCUAAGGUCCCAAAGUCAUGGUUAAGUGGGAAACGAUGUGGGAAGGCACAGACAGCCAGGAUGUUGGCUUAGAAGCAGCCAUCAUUUAAAGAAAGCGUAAUAGCUCACUGGUCGAGUCGGCCUGCGCGGAAGAUGUAACGGGGCUAAACCAUGCACCGAAGCUGCGGCAGCGACACUAUGUGUUGUUGGGUAGGGGAGCGUUCUGUAAGCCUGCGAAGGUGGCCUGUGAGGGCUGCUGGAGGUAUCAGAAGUGCGAAUGCUGACAUAAGUAACGAUAAAGCGGGUGAAAAGCCCGCUCGCCGGAAGACCAAGGGUUCCUGUCCAACGUUAAUCGGGGCAGGGUGAGUCGACCCCUAAGGCGAGGCCGAAAGGCGUAGUCGAUGGGAAACAGGUUAAUAUUCCUGUACUUGGUGUUACUGCGAAGGGGGGACGGAGAAGGCUAUGUUAGCCGGGCGACGGUUGUCCCGGUUUAAGCAUGUAGGCUGAUUAUCCAGGCAAAUCCGGAUAAUCAAGGCUGAGGUGUGAUGACGAGGCACUACGGUGCUGAAGUAACAAAUGCCCUGCUUCCAGGAAAAGCCUCUAAGCAUCAGGUAACAUCAAAUCGUACCCCAAACCGACACAGGUGGUCAGGUAGAGAAUACCAAGGCGCUUGAGAGAACUCGGGUGAAGGAACUAGGCAAAAUGGUGCCGUAACUUCGGGAGAAGGCACGCUGGUGUGUAGGUGAAGUCCCUGCGGAUGGAGCUGAGACCAGUCGAAGAUACCAGCUGGCUGCAACUGUUUAUUAAAAACACAGCACUGUGCAAACACGAAAGUGGACGUAUACGGUGUGACGCCUGCCCGGUGCCGGAAGGUUAAUUGAUGGGGUUAUCCGUAAGGAGAAGCUCUUGAUCGAAGCCCCGGUAAACGGCGGCCGUAACUAUAACGGUCCUAAGGUAGCGAAAUUCCUUGUCGGGUAAGUUCCGACCUGCACGAAUGGCGUAAUGAUGGCCAGGCUGUCUCCACCCGAGACUCAGUGAAAUUGAACUCGCUGUGAAGAUGCAGUGUACCCGCGGCAAGACGGAAAGACCCCGUGAACCUUUACUAUAGCUUGACACUGAACAUUGAGCCUUGAUGUGUAGGAUAGGUGGGAGGCUUUGAAGCGUGGACGCCAGUCUGCGUGGAGCCAACCUUGAAAUACCACCCUUUAAUGUUUGAUGUUCUAACGUGGGCCCCUGACCGGGGUUGCGGACAGUGUCUGGUGGGUAGUUUGACUGGGGCGGUCUCCUCCCAAAGCGUAACGGAGGAGCACGAAGGUUAGCUAAUCCUGGUCGGACAUCAGGAGGUUAGUGCAAUGGCAUAAGCUAGCUUGACUGCGAGCGUGACGGCGCGAGCAGGUGCGAAAGCAGGUCAUAGUGAUCCGGUGGUUCUGAAUGGAAGGGCCAUCGCUCAACGGAUAAAAGGUACUCCGGGGAUAACAGGCUGAUACCGCCCAAGAGUUCAUAUCGACGGCGGUGUUUGGCACCUCGAUGUCGGCUCAUCACAUCCUGGGGCUGAAGUAGGUCCCAAGGGUAUGGCUGUUCGCCAUUUAAAGUGGUACGCGAGCUGGGUUUAGAACGUCGUGAGACAGUUCGGUCCCUAUCUGCCGUGGGCGCUGGAGAAUUGAGGGGGGCUGCUCCUAGUACGAGAGGACCGGAGUGGACGCAUCACUGGUGUUCGGGUUGUCAUGCCAAUGGCACUGCCCGGUAGCUAAAUGCGGAAGAGAUAAGUGCUGAAAGCAUCUAAGCACGAAACUUGCCCCGAGAUGAGUUCUCCCUGAGACUUUAAGUCUCCUGAAGGAACGUUAAAGACGAUGACGUUGAUAGGCCGGGUGUGUAAGCGCAGCGAUGCGUUGAGCUAACCGGUACUAAUGAACCGUGAGGCUUAACCUU